rnacentral:rRNA from 1 species
CCUACGGGAGGCAGCAGUGAGGAAUAUUGGUCAAUGGACGCAAGUCUGAACCAGCCAAGUAGCGUGAAGGAUGACUGCCCUAUGGGUUGUAAACUUCUUUUAUGUGGGAAUAAAGUGCGGCACGUGUGCCUUUUUGCAUGUACCUUAUGAAUAAGGACCGGCUAACUCCGUGCCAGCAGCCGCGGUAAUACGGAGGAUCCGGGCGUUAUCCGGAUUUAUUGGGUUUAAAGGGAGCGUAGGCGGGCUGUUAAGUCAGUUGUGAAAGUCUGCGGCUCAACCGUAAAAUUGCAGUGGAUACUGGGAGGCUUGAGUACAGUAGAGGUAGGCGGAAUUCGUGGUGUAGCGGUGAAAUGCUUAGAUAUCACGAAGAACUCCGAUUGCGAAGGCAGCCUACUGUACUGUAACUGACGCUGAGGCUCGAAAGUGUGGGUAUCAAACAGGAUUAGAUACCCCUGUAGUC